GGAUUAGAUACCCUGGUAGUCCACGCCCUAAACGAUGAAUGUUAGUUGUUGGAUAUUUUUUUCAGUGACGAAGCUAACGCGAUAAACAUUCCGCCUGAGGAUUACGGUCGCAAGACUAAAACUUAAAGAAAUUGACGGGGGCUCGCACAAGCGGUGGAGCAUGUGGUUUAAUUCGAAGUUACGCGUAUAACCUUACCAGCUCUUGACAUAUAAACAGAGACUUUUGGUAACAAAAGUUGCGGUUCGGCCGGGUUUAUACAGGUGCUGCAUGGCUGUCGUCAGCUCGUGCCG
rnacentral:rRNA from 1 species